CUACCGGUACAAUUAGAAAAAAAAACCACACGAUGCUUUCUCCUCUAUCUCUUCGUCUUCACCGUUUCCUCUCUAUUGUUUCAGUUCUCUCGAUCCUCAUAUUAUAAAUAUUCGAGUACUAGGUUGCGAUUGGGCAGGUGCUUUUGUCUGUGAGGUGUAAGGAUUAGGAUGGGCAUGGUCACCAUGCUCAUGAGGCUCUGAGGAGGGCUAAGUUUAAGUUCCCUGGUCGUCAAAAGAUUAUCGGCAGCAGGAAAUCAUAUUUAUCAUUUUAUUAUUGGUUUUUGAGGAUCAAAUCCUUUUUAAGAACUUAUCAUGUUUUGUUGCUUUUUUUGCUUUUGUUUAGGGGUUUCACUAAGUUUAACAGAGCAGAUUUCAUGAAGCUGAGGCAAGAGAAGCGUGUUGUUCCUGAUGGUGUUAAUGCUAAGUUCCUCUCAUGCCAUGGACCUUUGGUUAACCGUCAGCCGGGAAGUGCAUUUUUGCCGGCCACCUAUUGAAGUUUCAGAGCUGAAUUAUAGCCAGUCUGAAACUUUAUCCUUGAAAUAUGAUGAGUAAAUCGAGGACUGUGAUGAGUCUGUUGAAAGAGCUAGAAAGCUUAGUCUAGGAACGGAACAGCUCUGCGGAAGAUGGAAAAAGUCUCGACGGACCAUGAACAUAUGAUUCAGACUUACCAGAAAGCUCUUGCAGAGCACCAUAACCCAGACAUGUUGAGGAGUCUGGAUGAGACUGAGAGAAUCUAGAAGGAGUUGGCGCAGAAAGAGUAUUCUGAUCCCAAUAUUGGUGAGGCAGAGCGUGAGAGAGUGAGUUUUUCAAGGAGCGGGAGUAUCAUGAUGCUGUGAGACACCACACUAAAGCGUUAAAAAGAAAUUCAAAAGACCCGAGCGCUAGGGCCUAGGGGAAUGCAAGACCCGGCAAUCCAGAACAUUCUCGCAGAUCCUGUAAUGAGACAGGAAAAUCCACCAACAGCACAAGAACACAUGCAGACCCCGAUGAUCAUGAAGAAAUACAAAAGUAUAUCAACCCAUGAAUUGUCAUGAUGAAAUAGACAUUAAUCCAUAGUUUUUACUUUUUGUAACUCUCGAACUAAACUCAUUCUUCCAUUGUUUCAGGAUAAUCUGAUAUAACAUUUUCCCUAAUAUCAGUUGUGUUUUUAUAAGACAGAUAUUUGAAUUGCUUACAUUAUUGCACAGCCCAAAAGAAAUUCACAAAAAUUCUUCAGUACGUAAGGUUAGUUCUGAACAAGAAAAAUAAAGUGUCUUCACCAGCAACUUUUCAUCCUUGGACGAAAAGACCAGAGGAAAAUGCAAGCUCUUGGUUUUGUUAUGAAUCGUUAUGAGAUUCAAUAUUACAAAGACCAUAAACUAAAUGAUUAUUAAUAACUCAUACCUCUUCCAGUAACAAUCUCAAAUAAUAAACAAUAACAACUAUUGAAAGCUUGGAAGAAAAAAGUACGAUACAAGUUUUGCAGGAGGUAGGUUUGGAGAAGCCAUUGGUGUCAUUUGAAAAACCUAAGUUUGAUAGCGAAGAGCUUAUGAGUACUAUAUCUAAAGUAAAAGUCCAUAGAAUAAGUUGGAACUCUGUUGAAUCAACGAACUUUGAUGUUAAGAUCCACUAAAUCAAAGCAAUGGCUAGACAAGCCCGGGAGAUAGAAGCUGGUUAAGGAGGAGUUUUGGGAAGUGAUUCUGAACCGACCAAAAGUAUCAAGAUCUCGAAUAAUAUCCCUAUGGAAAGAUCAAGCUGCAAGGAAUCCAUAGAAAGAUACCGUGUUCAAAUCAAAGUGUGUAUGUAGGCUACUUUGGAGGUGGUUUCCGCCGAGAUAUAAGGAAACUGGAUCACAUUAAGGUUAUAUAUGGAAAUAUCCUAUUGCAGAGAGCUCACUAGAUCAAUCGAAUUAUGAAUAUAAGUUAUAAACAAUUCGUAUUUCACCUUCAAAGUUGGACCAGAAACAUCUGAAUCUGCAGAAACAGAGAAAACUUUUCUGUAACAGCAUCUUUAGGAGAUUGUUUGACAAGGUAAACAUAUCCUGAUCGAUUUGAAAUUUUGUAUACAUACUCAUGGCAUAUCAGGAUUCACGAUCAACGGUGGGAUUUAGGAGUGAAAGGUUCGUUUGUUAAUUAUUCAUGUCUACUUGAGCCUGUUUGAUACAGUAUAAAACAGUGUGACAUGUAUGACAAAUGUGAUGUUUGGUUAG